AUGUUGUGUUAUAUUACCGCAUUUUGUUAUUUUAUGUUAACUAUUCUGUCGAGCGCUUCGCUACAGCUACAGCUACAGCUGUCGCGAAAGCACGAUAUGAAUAAAGAUGUGUUGUAUAAAUGUGGACUGAAUGUGAAACCAGUAGAGGGCCUAAAAAAGCUUAGCAGAGCAUUGCUAAACCUAUCUACCCCCAUUAGUCUGUGUUGGUCCAAAGUGAAUCCAGCAGUUUUGGCUUUUACCCAAGUGCUAGUCACUGUUCACAGCUACAUUGAGCAGCUGACUUCAGCACCAGCAAAGGCACCUUCAGAAGCAUCCGCAGUCGACACCAUCAUUGUACAGUAACUCUUGUGCUAUGCUGUGCCGUGUAAUUUUCACAGCUACGAUAAUUCAUCAUCAUCUUAGUUGUUGUCUGGACAGGGACUCUACAUUGUGGAUGUGCAUGCUUAAGUGUAUGUUUUUUCCGGGUACAAUAAUGUUUGUCAGCAUUUGAAAAGCUAUUAAAGUGUUUUGGGAUUGUAGUUGGUGGUAUAUGUAAAAUUUAAUCUACUCAUACGCAAUUAGGAUCAUUAUUUGUAGGGAUGCAUCAGUUUCUCGCGAAAAUUAGCUAUUCGCGGCCUGGCUCAAGGACCCUUUCCUGCAAAUUACGAGGCUUUGCACAUCUUAUAAAAAAUAAUGCAAUAGAAAACAGAAGCUAAUGGACACCAUUUUUGUUUUGUAAAUUUGUGCAGUUUUGUCUCGAAAUGAAUCAAAUGCUGCAAUAUUUUUUUCACACAUUGCGUGUUGAUAAUUCAGUUGUAUGUUGUGUUUUGGUUUUGUUGGGGGGACGAAAGUAUAAUAAUGGAACAAUAGGUUAUUCAUCUAGCUGCAUCGUUCACUCUUCAAAAUUGUGGAGUUGGGGAGGGAGGAUUGACAGACAAUUGCGGGUUGGGGUGGGCAACCAUUCACGAUUCUAAGUUGAAUAUACUUCAUUCUAAGUGUCGGGCUUCACCAAUUGCCCACCUAGCCCCUCAAGUUGUGGUGCUUGGCAUUGUUUUUCAAAUUGGGCUUUUAGGAUUACGUUACACAAUUUUGCUCAUGGGCAUGUCAAUUAAAAUGUAAAUGAGGCUGUGGGAGUAAGGCAGGUGUAGCAUAAACAUCUGGCUGAUGCCAGCUUCCACACAUUUAGCUAAGAAAUGUGCUGCACAGGACCGAGUUGUGGCACUGGCAGGGGUGUGGGAUGUGUAUGUGGAGCUGCCAGGCACUGCCCAUGUGCAAAUGUGGCACGCGGAUUACAGGUAAUCUGCUGAGACAGCUCUAUAAAGGGUUUAAGAUCACCAGUCAACCUGAGAGCAUGCAGUUCUACAGCCCUGUAGAUGAGAUAAGGGGGUACAUGCUUUAAAAGGGGAGCUCAGGAAGCUUGGAAACAUACGGACAGCAAACUGUGGGCAAAGCAUGAAAUGUUGGAAACGUUUCAGUCCACUUCCGUGACAGUUUUCUUCCAUUUGGCCUUGCGUUUGAGAUCUGAGUGGGCAUUUUGGAAGAUGGGAAAUGCAACAAAUUAAGUGAGGAGAAAAAUUCAAAGCAAGAUUUAUCACAACUGUGUCAUUCUCUUUACUGGGAAAACAACUAUCUUUACUGACAAUUCCGCUGAACACCUUGAAACAACAGGUAACUUAAUAUUUAUUUCAUCCAGGUAUUAGAUGGUCAUAGAAUACUUUACCACUUACUCCACAGUUGGAGAAAAAUGUCAUGUGCUCUGCAUUCAUUGGGAAAACAAAGUUUAUGGUUCACCAAAUAUAAAGUUUUCUUGUUUCAUUUGUUUUGGCUCUAUUGUCUCUGAGCAUAAUCUAAAAAGGAGGAGGCGUGACGUGAAUUAUGCUUUG